AGGGGAAAUAGGGUUUAAGUUGUGACGUAUCACCUUUUACCUCAAGUCUCAGACUCAUCUUCCUCCUUCGGCGCGGCGACGAAGCUCCUUCUCCGAUUGAACUUUCCUUCUCCUCCGCCGCGAAUCAGAUGGCACGGCACACUAUCUCACUCUUGCCUCGGUCAUCGCUCACCUCUCUUAUCUAUUGGUCUCCCCGAUUAAGGUCUUGAUCGAAUCAUUCAUCCGGUUCAAGAGAAUAAGCUUCAGGUUCCUCGGAGAUUGAGAGCAAGGAGCUCGUGGCUCUGUGAUUGAUGAAGAUUAUGAUGAUUACCGAAAGUGAUGAUUGGCGAGAGAUGCAGCGUGUGCGAUUGAAGCAUGAAUUCAGAGAGAUUGAAGAAGUGAAGGAUGAAGAUUCAAGAGCGAAUCAUUCUGAGUUUGUUACAGGUGAUGAAGGAGCUUGAAGUUUUAAGAAUGGAAGAGAAGAUUGAAGAGUGUAGAUUAUGGAGAAAGAUUGAAGGUGAGAAUGAAGGUGGUGAAGAGUGAAGUGGAACUGAGAUUGAAGUUGCAGAGAUUGAAGAUGAAUCAAAAAAUGGAAAAAUGGAUGUGUGAAGAGAGUGAUUGUAGAAGAAGGUUGAAGAAGAUUAUGGAGGGCACGGUUAUGGUGAAGAAGUGAAGAUGAAGAGUGAGAAAUGGUGGAGAUGUUGGUUUUUAUAGUUGAAGGUGAAGAGGAGAAUUCAGUUGAGGUCCGUAGCAGGCGUAGGUAGGGCAGGAUGAUGCAUACGUGUAAGGCUGAUUCAGUUUAGUUGAACGCAAAUCUUUGCUCUUGGCUCAUAAAUUAUGCAGGAAGUUUUCACUGAGGUUCUUGCUGAACCGGUUUGGCUCUGUGCGAGUACGAGAUCGUGUUGCCGGUUGGCUUUAUGCAAGACCCCCAGGGUCACAGUCUUAUGACAGACUUUAAUGGAGCAACAUGAAGCUUUUAAACGCAGCAAUGGUGAAUGUUGAAACAACAUGAAGUUUGGAGGAAUAUAGGUUUAGGAUAUUAGGAUAGGAAAACAAAGAUUGAGUAUUAGUUGUAGAUUUUUUUGUGUAAAUAUGACAUGGAUGUUUGUAAGGAAUUUGGCAUUGAUUAUGUGUAGAAAGAAAGAAUACACUUGAUGUUUGGAUUUAAAUUUGUAUGUGAAUUUGAAAUGUGUAGGCUUAUGGUUUGAAUUAUGAAUGCAAUUCAUGAUGGGGAGUUGUUUGGGAACUUGAA